UCCCUGUUGGCUCAGAUGGUAAAGCAUUCACCUCCAAUGUGGGAGACCCUGGUUCGCUCCCUGGGUUGGGAA
rnacentral:tRNA from 1 species